rnacentral:lncRNA from 1 species
GGAUCAAAUAAGCUUUCUGCAUACCUCUUUUUAUACUGAAUUUUCAUUGACUUUGAAUAGGAAUAUGUAUAUGAUCAAUCUAGAAAAAGAGGCUAAAUAAGAGUCCAAGUCGAACUCAAAAACAUAUUGUCCUCAGUUGUCCUGCCCGCGUAGGCUUGCUGCUGUGAGCAUGCAGCGUGCGCUAGAAGUCUCCUCGUGCUCGUACAUACGACUUUAGCUGUCCAUAUAAACGCGCCGCUACGCACAUUCUAUUGUGCACAUAAUCUAUUCCCCUGCACCCUUUGCGUGCUA